rnacentral:rRNA from 1 species
UACGUAUGGGGCAAGCGUUAUCCGGAUUUACUGGGUGUAAAGGGAGCGUAGGCGGCCUGGCAAGCCUGAUGUGAAAUACCGGGGCCCAACCCCGGGGCUGCAUUGGGAACUGCCAGGCUGGAGUGCCGGAGGGGCAGGCGGAAUUCCUGGUGUAGCGGUGAAAUGCGUAGAUAUCAGGAGGAACACCGGUGGCGAAGGCGGCCUGCUGGACUGCAACUGACGUUGAGGCCCGAAAGCGUGGGGAGCAAACAGG